rnacentral:rRNA from 1 species
UGGAUGAUGUGGAUAAUUCGAUGCAACGCGAAGAACUUACCUACCCUUGACAUGUCCGGAACUUGCCAGAGAUGGCUUGGUGCCCGAAAGGGAAUCGGAACACAGGUGCUGCAUGGCUGUCGUCAGCUCGUGUCGUGAGAUGUUGGGUUAAGUCCCGCAACGAGCGCAACCCUUAUCAUUAGUUGCUACGCAAGGGCACUCUAAUGAGACUGCCGGUGACAAACCGGAGGAAGGUGGGGAUGACGUCAAGUCCUCAUGGCCCUUAUAGGUGGGGCUACACACGUCAUACAAUGGCUGGCACAAAGGGUUGCCAACCCGCGAGGGGGAGCCAAUCCCAUAAAGCCAGUCGUAGUCCGGAUCGCAGUCUGCAACUCGACUGCGUGAAGUCGGAAUCGCUAGUAAUCGUGGAUCAGCAUGUCACGGUGAAUACGUUCCCGGGUCUU